rnacentral:rRNA from 1 species
GCGGUACAGAGGGUUNCCAACCCGCGAGGGGGAGCUAAUCCCAUNAANCCGUUCCCAGUUNGGAUUGCAGGCUGCAACUCGCCUGCAUGAAGCCGGAAUCGCUAGUAAUCGUGGAUCAGCAUGCCACGGUGAAUACGUUCCCGGGUCUUGUACACACCGCCCGUCACACCACGAGAGUUUGUAACACCCGAAGUCGGUGAGGUAACCCUUUUGGGAGCCAGCCGCCGAAGGUGGGACAGAUGAUUGGGGUGAAGUCGUAACAAGGUAGCC